rnacentral:rRNA from 1 species
GGACGAACGCUGGCGGCGUGCCUAACACAUGCAAGUCGAACGGAGCUUCUCUUGGUGGCAACAUCUUGGGUUGUUCAGUGGCGAACGGGUGAGUAACACGUGAGGAACCUGCCCCGGAGACCGGGAUAACAGGAGGAAACUUCUGCUAAUACCGGAUGUCCCCAUCGUGCCGCAUGGUGUGGUGAGGAAAUGGGUUUCCGCUUCGGGAGGGUCUCGCGGCCUAUCAGCUUGUUGGUGGGGUAAUGGCCUACCAAGGCGUCGACGGGUAGCUGGUCUGAGAGGACGAUCAGCCACACUGGGACUGAGACACGGCCCAGACUCCUACGGGAGGCAGCAGUGGGGAAUCUUGCGCAAUGGGCGAAAGCCUGACGCAGCAACGCCGCGUGCGGGAUGAAGGCCUUCGGGUUGUAAACCGCUUUCAGCAGGGACGAAGUUGACGGUACCUGCAGAAGAAGCCCCGGCCAACUACGUGCCAGCAGCCGCGGUAACACGUAGGGGGCGAGCGUUGUCCGGAUUUAUUGGGCGUAAAGAGCUCGUAGGCGGUUCUGUAAGUCGGGUGUGAAAACUCUGGGCUCAACCCAGAGACGCCACUCGAUACUGCGGUGACUAGAGUCCGGUAGGGGAGUGUGGAAUUCCUGGUGUAGCGGUGAAAUGCGCAGAUAUCAGGAGGAACACCAACGGCGAAGGCAGCACUCUGGGCCGGUACUGACGCUGAGGAGCGAAAGCGUGGGGAGCGAACAGGAUUAGAUACCCUGGUAGUCCACGCCGUAAACGUUGGGCACUAGGUGUGGGACCUUUCCAACGGGUUCCGUGCCGCAGCUAACG